AAUGAAGACUCCAGAGUCCUAACCCACCCCCACUCCUAUGUGCAGAGAAAGAGAAAGCUCCCAUUUCCUUCUGGACACAAACGAAAGAGAAAAUUAAAGCGCCGCUGCUUCUUUCUUCGACUCCUAGACGAAGAGGUUCACCAGCUUCAUGUCGUCGCGCUUGAUCAACCUGUUUGAAAUUCGGAGCCUUUGGCGGGUCCUGGGCUUGGACCCGAGAUGGGUUGAGAGCUUGAGGACGGGGGCGAAAUGGGCAGAUGACGGCUUGGGGAAAGAGUGAGAGGGGUAGGGGGUGGCCAUGGACGCCAUUGAAGGAGGUGAGAAAGGAGAGUUGCAGAUCUGAUAAAAAAAUAUUUGACGUUGCUGUGAAAUUUGACAGCAAGGGGGAGAGCUGCUAUUUCUUGUCAUGCCACAUUAAAUUUGACUUUUCGGUUGGAAAACAUUACAACUGUCUUUUUUAUUUUUUACUGUUAUUAUUGAUUUACACA